GCACAACACCAAUGUCCCCUUUUCCUGAAGGCCUCCCUCCACCUCCAUGUGUCGUCCACUCAAUCUGAUGAGUUCUUGCACAGCAAACACUCACACCCGCUGGACUCCAGCCACACGUCGGAUGUGCUGAGGUUCGUACUGGAGCAGUACAAUGCCCUCUCCUGGCUGACCUGUGACCCUGGCACACAGGAUAGGCAGUCAUGCCUGCCUGUGCACUUUGUGGUGCUGACACGCUUGUAUAACUUCAUCAUGAAUAUGUUGUGACCUGUGGAGCUGGCCGACCUGCUGGGUGGGAUCCAAAGGGAUUUUACCUGAGAAAUGAUGACCGAGCAAGACUGUGCAAUAUCCUUGUGCAGGGGCAGCCCAUAGUGUCCUGUAGGUGUCUGCGGUAGAUUUCCUAGGAUGAACUGUCAUCUGCUAUGGUGGUCACCAUGGUAAUAGAGGUUGUCCAUCAAUAACCAGUGUAUGUCUGUCUUUUGUAAAUUAUUGACCCUUUGUGAAGACCUGAAUUACACUUGGAUAAAAUUUUAUUCAAAUCAAAACUAUGUAUCUUAUUUAUUGUCAGUUUUAUAAUUAAUUUAAUUUGUCUUCCUCAACCUCUUAAAACAAAUUAUUAAAGGUUUACAUUGCAGUACUAAUUGAAAGCAGACAGUUUGCAAUGGGUGUUACAUUUGCAGUAGAUUGAUUUUUGAGGAUUUUUCUUGUAAAAGAAAAUGAUUUAUAUAGUUACAGUAUACAGAUGGAGUAGAUGGGGGUUAAAUGCUGUUUUUUGAUGGGUUGGGGUCAAACAGCUAAGCUGUCUCUGCAGGGAACUUGUACAGCAAUGUCAUUCACUGUGUUCAAAUAAGAGGUACAUAGUCUAAUAUAUAUAUAUAUAUAUAUAUAUAAGUAUAUAUAUAUAGUAUUUUAUAU